rnacentral:lncRNA from 1 species
UCCACACCUUCUCCAGAAUUUAUUAUUUGCAGACAUUUUAGACUAUUGAACUUAGUAAGUUAAACAGGCUCUAAAAAUGUCCACCACCCACCCCCAAGUCAGGUUAGGUAACUACAACAAGGGAAAACAUUUAUAAUAUCUACAUAUUUCUCUUAAAAUUUUCUUUUUAUUUUGAAAUCACUUUUGCCAAUUUUUCAAACGCUUCUAUUAAGCACUGGAGGAAUGUCUUUAGUGUCCUAAGUGAGGUGUGCCAUCCCUCGACCAUGAUCUCUGCUCUCAGAAAGAAACCAAAGGCAUUUGAAAAGAAAUUUUUCUCCCCACUCCCCCAAACUUGAGUAGUGCUCAGUACACAGUAGGUCCACAAUAUAUUUUGUAAAAUCAAUGAAUGACGUGAACAUUAUUGUUUAAGGUAUCAACAUUUAGAAAGUUUUUAUUUUGUUUUAUUUUAUUAUAAAGCAUCUAUUUGACUUGACUAUGGCUGAAAAGUGAAUUUAAGAUCUUUUCAUGUCAUUCUUCAAAGGUGAAUAUGCCAUGUUUAAUGUGUGUUCAGUGCUACACACUGCUUUCCAGGAAGCCAUCUCUCUGUGGGAACCAAUAAAGCUAACUACCAGAAAUCUUCUUGUAGGUAAGAAUAUGAUGUGUUGGCUAUAAGUCCAGGAAUUAAUGCUACGGUGCUUCAGAAAGGCAAAUGCGUUGCAAGACCAAUAUUAACCUGUUAUUCAUUCAUCAAAACACAGGUUUCUAUGAUUUAGACAUUUUUUUUGCCUUCUUUUUCCUUUUAUUUUCUGCAUUCAUGGUAUUUUAUAGAUACUUCAGUUGUCCUGUGUUCAUUUUGUAUGAACUCAAUGUAUCAGUAGUUAUUGAGUACCUUCUUUGUAUUGUAUAUUAUAUUAGACCUAUUAGUAUGGCAUACAAACAAAAAUAUUAUAACAUCAUCCCUCAGUUUAAAAAAUUGCAGUUUAGUUGUGGACAUAGAUGGUAAACUAGAAGUUCAGUAGUUCAAUAGCAUAAAGAUAUCUACUGGCUGAAGUAAAAAAACAAAAUAAAACUAACAAUGCAUUUAGUUUAGAGAGGUAUGCAGGGUCAGAGGAUAUAUUAUUAACUCUGUACACCUAGCAACAAGUAAUAGGCUCUCAAUUAAUGUGCAGUGUAUUGACUAAUAAAUUCUAAGCACAGCAUUAUUAGUAGUAAUGAAUAAUAAAAGUAUAUUUUCAAUUGAUCUAAAUGUCACAUGAUACCAUAUUUUUAAGAAAAAAUUUAAAUUUUAAUGAUCACAGUUCUAUACUAAAUUCUGAGUUUAUCCUAUAUAUUCUAUUUUCUUAAGCCAAAUUUCUUUUGUGCACAGCAUGUUAAAACCCAGCACUGCUUUUAAAUUGGAGGUAAAUUUGGAAGUUUGCUUUAAUGACUUGAUGGUUAUGGAAAUGCAGUCCCUCCUACUUUUGGCUUAUAUUUAACUGUGAUAGUAAUAUUGGAAGUGAUUCCCUGGGUUUUUCAAUGGGUAGACUCAAAUCUAAUUCAAGGUAUACUGAGAUUAAGUUUUGCCCCACUUGAGCAAAACAUGUUGCUCCAUGUUAGGUAUACACUUGACUCAUCCUUAGCUCAUAAGCUGAUGCAUGUUCUCGACACAUCACACAGCCUCCUACAGCUUUUUUUCCCAUAAGCUCACUACUAGCUCCACAUGGCAGAACACCCACCACUCCUCAGGCCAGCAGAAUCACUAUAAUAUAUUUUCACAAAGAUAUGCAAGAAAGAACACACACAGCUCUCCCACACAGCUCGGAACAAUCAUGCAGAAUGAAGUACUGUCUAUUCUGGUUUCAUGUCCCUGUUUUCCAGAGGUGGGUAGGUAGAUACAAAGAUGCUGCUGCUGUAAUAAUCUUUAUGGUUAUAAAAGAUCUUUUAAAAUAUCCAGCAAAUACAUUCCUAAGGUUACUGAAUCUAUAAAAGUGACUCUUCGUUGAUAGGUAUCAAUUCACUCAGUAAUUAAAAAAAAAUUCUAGAUCUUUGGGGCAUAAGUUCUUCUACAUUACCAUCACUCUCCUUUUUAUAAAGGUAUCCAAAUCUAAAUGUCCAAGAAAAGACUACUCUUGCGUUUCAAAUGCCAGCAAGGCUUAUUAUUGCCAGCAUUUGAAUCCCUAUUAAAAACCAAAGAGAACCAAGAUAGUAAGUUGGGGCACAUCCAAGUCAGGAUGCUUGGCAGAUAGCAGAGACAGGGAGGUAAUUGUUAAAACGUGGGAAAGUGUCCUUUAGGCAUUCAGCUACAUACAGUCUCUCUCAGUUUCAGCACUGAUAUUUCAUGUGUGCUUCUACUGCAAUCAGUGGAGAACUGGGAGACCCAGAUCCCUCAUCAGAGAUGUGCUGCUUAUUAUGUCACCAGGGAUAGGUCAUCCUAUGUCUUUAUUUCAAUGGUCCCCUAAGGAAAACUGGGUAUCCAGAUUUAUUUGUUGCUGUGGACAUGUAGUAUAACUAAACUGGAAAACACAUAUACACACAAACAUAUUUUUUAUUAGAUACAACGACAGAGAAGAAAUUGGGAGGAGGGUGUGUGUGGAGAGAUAACAUUAAUUGAACAUCUACUGUUAUCAGCUGAUGUAAUCUUCAAAACAAUCUUAGUGUUAGACCUUUUCUUUCCCUUCCUUUACUUGUUGCUAGGAAAUAGAGCUCAGAAAGCAGAGGCACCAUGUGUAAUGUCCUUAAACUAGGAAAUGGUUUGGCUAUUACAAAAAACUAUACGGAAAAAUCAUGUUGGUAUUUUAAUUGUUACUGACCUGUAUAUCAAGUUUUUAGUAGAUGCUUCAUUAUUUAAGCAAAUUUAUUAUUAUUAAUAACUUUUGUCAUAAUAAAAGCAAUGCAUUUUACAAGGAAAGUUAUAUUUGAAUUUUUAACUUUAAAAUUUUUAAAAGCUAAGUUAAAUUAUAGAGCAGUAGACACUGUUGAUUAUGCAUAUUUCUGGUUAAAAAGUAUGAAUUGUUUUGAACCUCUUUAUUCUUACUGAAAAAUUAUUUUCUAAAAGCAGUUGUAAACAAUUACACUUUCACCUGAGUACAUGAUUGUAUCUGUCUCUAGCACAUAUUCCAGCAAUAAAAAGUAUUGUUCCUAGGACGUUACUAGUUUGAUUACUAAAAAAUGAUGUUGAGUUUAUUUUAAUUUAUAGUUAUUUAAUUCUAUUGAAGGUGGUUAUCUGGUUUUAGUUAGAUUUUGAUAUUUGCCAACUUAAUCCACAUGGGAUUUAUUUUGUUGUACUAGGUGAGGUAAGAAUCUAUUUGGAAUUGUUCCCUAGUUUUUAGGCCAUUUUUUUCAUUUGUUUCUCAGCAUCAUCUCUUUAUUGACUUAUGAUACCUUAUUUAUAACCUGUUAAUUUUUUUUUCACUAUUAAUACGAGGGGAUAGUUCUAGGAAGUACAUAGCCCUUUAAUGUUAAUGCCAUAAUACCACAAUGUUUUUACGAUUGUAACUUUAAAGUAUUAAAUAACUCAUUGCAGAAUUCUCUUAUUUUUAUUACUAUUUUCCAAACUGAUUUUUAUUACCUCACCUUGUUCUUUCAGAUACACUUUAGGACACACAUGCAAACACACCAUUUAAAUGGAAGCUACUUUUAUAUUCAUUUCAACUGUACUACAUUUAUUAAUAAAUCCUGUAGGAAUUGAUGUCUUCACAAUAUUUAAUUUUAUCAUCCGUGAAUGUGAUAUAUGUUAUAUAUCCCAGUCAUUUGAAAACUUUUAAUUAGUAGAAGUUAUGGGCAAUAGAUGCUAUGAUAAGUAGAAUCCAUAAGAAGAGGACAGAGUCAAGGUCCUAGGAACACUAGAAGCAUGGUCAGAGGCUGGCUGAGUCAGUAAGUGGAAGAGCAGUGGAGAAAAGGAUGACAACACAGUGAGAACCCAGGAGCAUCCUUAAUCAUCUGCAUGAGUCCAGUUUCAAAUAAUGCCCAGCUGUCUUUUGGAAGCUUGGCAUGGAGCUGUUCCUGUUGUAUUCUUAUUUUCUUGUUUAUUUUUAAAUUUUUAAAUUUUUAUUUAUUUCUUUUUUUACAGCCACACUCACGGCAUAUGGAAACUCCUGGGCCAGGGAUUGAAUCUGAGCUGCAGCUGCAGCAACACUGGAUUCUUUAAUCCACUGUGCCAGGCUGGGGAUCACACCCAAGCCUCUGCAGUGACCUGAACUGCUGCAGUCAGAUUCCUAACCUACUGUGCCACAGCAAGAAUUCCUUCUGUUUUCUUAAUUAAUGCCUAUCCUUUGAGGUAACUGCAUCAUGUCUUUUCUCCUACAAUGUGAAAAAGUGUAACCAAUGAUCAUUACUUAUUCUUUUAUUACACUACUAAAUUUGGCUUGCUAAUGUUUCAUUUUGAAAUUGUACACCAUAUUCAUAAGUGAGACUUAAGUAAUUCUAUGAGAUUCAUAGAAGAAAUUGUCCACCAAUUCCUUGAUUUGGGAACCUCAGCAGUUCAUAAACAUUGAGAAUGAUUUUUACAAAAAGGAAUGCCACAGGUAACCCUAUGGCUCAUGAACUACUUGAGAAAUAUGUUGUUUUCUCUCUAGCAUCUAAAUUUUAAACCAAGGAAAAUGUUUUAGGAUUGUAG